rnacentral:rRNA from 1 species
AAACCAACUGGGAUUACCUUAGUAACGGCGAGUGAAGCGGUAAAAGCUCAAAUUUGAAAUCUGGUACUUUCAGUGCCCGAGUUGUAAUUUGUAGAAUUUGUCUUUGAUUAGGUCCUUGUCUAUGUUCCUUGGAACAGGACGUCAUAGAGGGUGAGAAUCCCGUUUGGCGAGGAUACCUUUUCUCUGUAAGACUUUUUCGAAGAGUCGAGUUGUUUGGGAAUGCAGCUCAAAGUGGGUGGUAAAUUCCAUCUAAAGCUAAAUAUUGGCGAGAGACCGAUAGCGAACAAGUACAGUGAUGGAAAGAUGAAAAGAACUUUGAAAAGAGAGUGAAAAAGUACGUGAAAUUGUUGAAAGGGAAGGGCAUUUGAUCAGACAUGGUGUUUUUAGCAUGCACUCGCCUCUCGUGGGCUUGGGCCUCUCAAAAAUUUCACUGGGCCAACAUCAAUUUUGGCGGCAGGAAAAUCUUUGGAAUGUAGCUACCUCGGUAUGUUAUAGCCUUUUGAAAUCUGUCAGCUGGGA